rnacentral:rRNA from 1 species
AACGAACGCUGGCGGCGUGCCUAACACAUGCAAGUCGUGGGAGAAAGUGACCUUCGGGUCGCGAGUAAACCGGCGCACGGGUGAGUAACACGUAGGUAACGUACCAUCGAACCUGGGAUAACCAGUCGAAAGAUUGGCUAAUACCGGAUACGACCGCGAGGACUUCGGCCCUUUCGGUGAAAGGCGGCCUCUGCUUGCAAGCUGUCAUUCGAUGCGCGGCCUGCGCACCAUUAGCAGUUGGUGAGGUAACGGCUCACCAAGGCUGAGAUGGUUAGCUGGUCUGAGAGGAUGGCCAGCCACACUGGGACUGAGACACGGCCCAGACUCCUACGGGAGGCAGCAGUGGGGAAUAUUGCGCAAUGGGCGAAAGCCUGACGCAGCGACGCCGCGU